rnacentral:rRNA from 1 species
UAGCUAAUACCGGAUAACAACAGAUGAUGCCUAUCAAACUGUUUAAAAAGAAUGGUUAUGCUAUCACUCUUGGAUGGACCUGCGGUGCAUUAGCUAGUUGGUAGGGUAACGGCCUACCAAGGCGAUGAUGCAUAGCCGAGUUGAGAGACUGAUCGGCCACAUUGGGACUGAGACACGGCCCAAACUCCUACGGGAGGCAGCAGCC